rnacentral:tRNA from 1 species
GUCUCUUUGGUGUAGUUGGUUAUCACGUAUGCUUCACACGCAUAAGGUCCUCGGUUCGAGCCCGAGGAGGGACA